AUUGAACGCUGGCGGCAUGCCUUACACAUGCAAGUCGAACGGUAACAGGUUAAGCUGACGAGUGGCGAACGGGUGAGUAAUGUAUCGGAACGUGCCCAGUCGUGGGGGAUAACUGCUCGAAAGAGCAGCUAAUACCGCAUACGACCUGAGGGUGAAAGCGGGGGAUCGCAAGACCUCGCGCGAUUGGAGCGGCCGAUAUCAGAUUAGGUAGUUGGUGAGGUAAAGGCUCACCAAGCCGACGAUCUGUAGCUGGUCUGAGAGGACGACCAGCCACACUGGGACUGAGACACGGCCCAGACUCCUACGGGAGGCAGCGGUGGGGAAUUUUGGACAAUGGGCGCAAGCCUGAUCCAGCCAUGCCGCGUGCGGGAAGAAGGCCUUCGGGUUGUAAACCGCUUUUGUCAGGGAAGAAAAGGUUCUGGCUAAUACCUGGGACUCAUGACGGUACCUGAAGAAUAAGCACCGGCUAACUACGUG
rnacentral:rRNA from 1 species